rnacentral:rRNA from 1 species
AACGAACGCUGGCGGCAUGCCUAACACAUGCAAGUCGAACGAGACCUUCGGGUCUAGUGGCGCACGGGUGCGUAACGCGUGGGAACCUGCCCUUAGGUUCGGAAUAACUCCCCGAAAGGGGUGCUACUACCGGAUAAUGUCUUCGGACCAAAGAUUUAUCGCCUUUGGAUGGGCCCGCGUUGGAUUAGCUCGUUGGUAGGGUAAAAGCCUACCAAGGCGAGGAUCCAUAGCUGGUCUGAGAGGAUGGUCAGCCACACUGGCAGUGAGACACGGCCCAGACUCCUACGGGAGGCAGGAGUGGGGAAUAUUGGAAUGCGGGCGGAAGGAUGAAGCAGCAAUGCCGGGUGAGUGAUGAAGGCCUUAGGGUUGUAAAGCUCUUUUACCCGGGAUGAUAAUGACGGUACCGGGAGAAUAAGCACCGGCUAACUCCGUG